GUUUUGAUGUUAAUCUUUUAGAAUUAUUUUGAUUGAUUUUUGAUUGUUUGAUUAAUACUUUAGAAUAUUGUUUGAUUUUGUUUUGAAUAUUAUUUUAGAUAUUUGUUUUAUAUCUAAUAUAUUUGAUAUUGAUAUUAAAUAUUCUAUUAUUUCACUUUUGUUUCGAUUAACAUCUAACACCUAACAUCUUAACAUCUAAUUCUUUACUUUUCCGCAUUCUAACUUUUAA
rnacentral:lncRNA from 1 species